rnacentral:rRNA from 1 species
CAGUAGCCGCGGGAAUACGUAGGGUGCAAGCGUUAAUCGGAAUUACUGGGCGUAAAGCGUGCGCAGUCGGUUUGUUAAGACAGAUGUGAAAUCCCCGGGCUCAACCUGGGAACUGCAUUUGUGGCUGGCAAGCUAGAGUAUGGCAGAGGGGGGUGGAAUUCCGCGUGUAGCAGUGAAAUGCGUAGAUAUGCGGAGGAGCACCGAUGGCGAAGGCAGCCCCCUGGGCCAAUACUGACGCUCAUGCACGAAAGCGUGGGGAGCAAACAGGAUUAGAUACCCGCGUAGUCCCUGUCUCUUAUAC